CAGUCGAACGAAGCUGCUUAACAGAUUUCCUUCGGGAUCGAUGUUUUGUACACUUAGUGGCGGACGGGUGAGUAACGCGUGGGUAACCUGCCCUGUACAGGGGGAUAACAGUUAGAAAUGACUGCUAAUACCGCAUAAGACCACAGCACCGCAUGGUGCAGGGGUAAAAACUCCGGUGGUACAGGAUGGACCCGCGUCUGAUUAGCUGGUUGGUGAGGUAACGGCUCACCAAGGCGACGAUCAGUAGCCGGCUUGAGAGAGCGGACGGCCACAUUGGGACUGAGACACGGCCCAAACUCCUACGGGAGGCAGCAGUGGGGAAUAUUGCACAAUGGGGGGAACCCUGAUGCAGCGACGCCGCGUGAGUGAAGAAGUAUUUCGGUAUGUAAAGCUCUAUCAGCAGGGAAGAAAAUGACGGUACCUGACUAAGAAGCCCCGGCUAACUACGUGCCAGCAGCCGCGGUAAUACGUAGGGGGCAAGCGUUAUCCGGAAUUACUGGGUGUAAAGGGUGCGUAGGUGGUAUGGCAAGUCAGAAGUGAAAACCCAGGGCUUAACUCUGGGACUGCUUUUGAAACUGUCAGACUGGAGUGCAGGAGAGGUAAGCGGAAUUCCUAGUGUAGCGGUGAAAUGCGUAGAUAUUAGGAGGAACAUCAGUGGCGAAGGCGGCUUACUGGACUGAAACUGACACUGAGGCACGAAAGCGUGGGGAGC
rnacentral:rRNA from 1 species